GACGAACGCUGGCGGCGUGCCUAAUACAUGCAAGUCGAGCGGACUGAAUGGGAGCUUGCUCUUGUUCGGUCAGCGGCGGACGGGUGAGUAACACGUGGGCAACCUGCCCGCAAGACCGGGAUAACUCCGGGAAACCGGAGCUAAUACCGGAUAACACCGAAGACCGCAUGGUCUUUGGUUGAAAGGCGGCGCAAGCUGCCACUUGCGGAUGGGCCCGCGGCGCAUUAGCUAGUUGGUGAGGUAACGGCUCACCAAGGCGACGAUGCGUAGCCGGCCUGAGGGGGGGGCCCGCCCCCCCUGGGCAGGGGACCCGCCCCGACCGCCGCCGGGGGGCGCCGGGAGGGAUCCCCCGGCAAGGGGCGCAGGCCGGAGGGGGGGGCCCGGGGGGGGGGAAGAGGGCCUUCGGGUGGUAAAGCUGGGUUGGGGGGGAGGAAGGGGCGCCGUUUGAAGAAGGGGGCGGGGUGACGGUCCCUCACGGGGAAGCCCCGGCUAACUACGGC
rnacentral:rRNA from 1 species